rnacentral:rRNA from 1 species
UCGGGAAUUUUGGGCAAUGGGCGCAAGCCUGAUCCAGCCAUGCCGCGUGAGUGAAGAAGGCCUUCGGGUUGUAAAGCUCUUUCGGCGGGGACGAAAUGGUUCGUGCCAAUACCACGGACUGAUGACGGUACCUGAAGAAGAAGCACCGGCUAACUACGUGCCAGCAGCCGCGGUAAUACGUAGGGUGCAGGCGUUAAUCGGAAUUACUGGGCGUAAAGCGCACGUAGGCGGAUUGUUAAGUCAGAGGUGAAAUCCCGGAGCUCAACCUGGGAAUUGCAUUUGAGACUGCACGGCUAGAGUGUGUCAGAGGGGGGUAGAAUUCCACGUGUAGCAGUGAAAUGCGUAGAUAUGUGGAGGAAUACCGAUGGCGAAGGCAGCCCCCUGGGAUAACACUGACGCUCAUGCACGAAAGCGUGGGGAGCAAACAGGAUUAGAUACCCCAGUAGUCCCUGAGCGGGCUGGCAAGGCGCAU